UACGUAGGGUGCGAGCGUUAAUCGGAAUUACUGGGCGUAAAGCGUGCGCAGGCGGCUUCGCAAGUCAGGCGUGAAAUCCCCGGGCUUAACCUGGGAAUGGCGUCUGAAACUACGGAGCUGGAGUGUGGCAGAGGGAGGUAGAAUUCCACGUGUAGCGGUGAAAUGCGUAGAUAUGUGGAGGAACACCGAUGGCGAAGGCAGAUCUCUGGGCCGUAACUGACGCUGAGGAGCGAAAGCAUGGGGAGCGAACAGG
rnacentral:rRNA from 1 species